CCCGAUACUCCAGUUUACUAUUUAGAAUAUCCACGUGAUAAUUAUUUAAAAGUUAAUCGCUAUGUAAACGUAAGUUUAAAUGAAUAAUUAUUAUCAUUAAAUUCUAAUAAUAUCUAACUUUAUUAGAAAUUUGAAGCAUCCCCUUCUUAUAACUACUAUCGUAAUCCGGAGAAUAAAUCCAACGGUAAGUAAUUCUGUAAAUAAAAUAACAUAAAAUAAACUAAUUAAAUUUUUUUUUCCAGGCACAUUUAUUCCGAAGGUAUUAGUAAUCCUUGAUUGGGAUGAUCUAGUUGAAAACCGAACAGAGCAAGAUAUUCUUAAUGAAGUAUUGGCGGAUUGGAAUAGAGUAGAUAAAUAUUUUGAACAACUUGACAAUCCCAAAAUAAAAUUGGCUAUUGCUGGAGUCGUCAUACCGACAAAAUCAGAUACUUGGAACACAACGAAAAUUAGUCAGUCUGGUGAUCUUUCUCCCGAUCGUCAUUUAUAUGAAAUUAUUUGGACCAUUUCAUAUCUUUUACCUUAUUGUCCAAAUUUUAUGGAAAAGUGGUUAAAUGACAAUGCCGAUCGGUUUGAAAGGUUCGAAUAUGAUUUUUUUAUAUUCAAGACGAACCGGGAAUGGGAUAGAGCGUGGUAUUUAACCUAUGAUACUCACAUGACGGACAAUCGGUUUAGUUGUGAUACCAAAAAUAGUCCCAAUUCCCGUUCAUUGGGAAGAGUCGUGUGGAAAAGCUUGGAAUUUAUAAAAUGAGUGAUAAGGAUUGUGUUUGGGAGAUGAUCUCCAAUCCGGGACUUUUGGAAAUGUAUAUCUUUACUUGGCCUGAAUGUUCUAAAAGCGCCUUUAGAUCGAUGAUCAAUAACACCAGAUACACUUGUCUACAUCAAAUACCUCAUGAUGAAGAUGAAGACGAUUACUCAUGAUUUAAUUCAAACUUUCAGAUAAAUUUUGUACUUCAAGC